rnacentral:lncRNA from 10 species
GCUGAAGGGAAGUGGCGUGAACAUGGCUCAGUGCAACCUCCACCUCCCGGACUCAAGUGAUCUUCCCAUCUCAGCCUCCUAAGUAGCUGGGACCAUAGGUGUGUGCCACCAUGCCCGGCUAAUUUUUAAAUUUUUUGUAGAGAUGGUGUCCCACUAUGUGGAGUCUUCUUCAUAUUGAUCAAAGUGGCAGUUAAACAAGAAUAUAAUUACAUAAAAGUGUACCAAAAUGUAUAUUUAAGAUUGGUGCACAUUGCUGUAUAUAUUAUACUUUGAUAAAGAGUAUUACAGAAAAUUUUAAUUUUCUUCUUUUUGCUGUUUUCUAAAUGGUCACACCUUUUUCUCGGCUAUAUUUCCAAAAGUCUAAACUGAAACAUAAAUUAUAAUGAGAAGAAAAACAAUAAAGGUUAUUAUUUUUAAAACACUAGAGCUGAAUCUCAGCUACCUAUCUAGAUCUCUUGGCCUGAGCCCUGGACCCAGCUAAAAAUAGUUCAGAGCCUUGCCAGCUGGGAGCUGGGCUAUGUUUAGCAGAAACUGGCACACGAGUGAAAUGGGGUGGAGCCAAGUAGACACUUUGGAUCCGGUAGGCAUAGCUCUCCCACAGGAGACUGUUUAGGCCAUGCCUGGCAUCAGUAACUCAGGCUGUUUCCCACACUACAGGCCAGCACUGUGGGCUCUCAGUUUAUUGGGAAAUGGAAAUAAGAGGGAAGGACAAAAGUCCACUGGGAAGCAGACUGGACAGAAAGGAACUCUGAGCAGCUAAACUCUGACUAAUCCCAGGGUAUACCUGCGUUUUCUCUUCACCAGAUUUUUCCUACCAGGAAGAGCAUGUGCUGACCAACAGACAUGAAUUUCAGCCUGGUAGUUACAACAUUCACAGGAGACAGGAGUUUCACUCGUUGCCCAGGCUGGAGUGCAACGGCGCGAUCUCAGCUCACUGCAACCUCCGCCUCCCCAGUUCAAGCGAUUCUCCUGCCUCAGCCUCCUGAGUCACUGGAAUUACGGGCGCCUGACACCACGCCCAGCUAAUUUUUUGUAUUUUUAGUAGACAUGGGGUUUCACUAUGUUGGCCAGGCUGGUCUCGAACUCCUGACCUCAUGAUCCUCCUGCCUCAGCCUCCCAAAGCACUGGGAUUACAGGUGUGAGCCACUGUGCCUGGUCCAUUAAAAACAUUUGUAAAGCUAUGGUGUUGAUAAAGUAUUAUGAAAGACUGCAAAAAAAGAUGGCUAAUUUUUAGUUAUUAUUGCACAUGUUUAGAGGAGCUAAUGACAUUUUCUAUGAUUAAUAAAAGACAUUAUUUAUGUUUUUAUUUAUGUAUUCCACAACAUUUAUUUUAUUUUCUCCAUUUCAGGAAAACCACUAUGUUGUUACAAUAAAGAUUUUCAUGUAAUUUGUGUUCAAUUGAUAGUAAUAAUGUAACAAGUUAAAAAUGAAGGUAAUUGUGUUUAAAAUUUGAGCAUAUUUUCAUCAAAAUGUAAGUUAAAGUGAUUGUAAAUUUUAAGAUCAUAAUUACUUUGUAUAUCUUCAAGAAAAUUAUUGUUUUAAAAUAUUUAUGCCUAUUAAAAUUAGAAGGCAAAAUAAAAAUAUAUGAAUACCAACAUUUUAAAUAAAAAUCAUUUAAAUAA